GCCAGGUAUGGUGGCACACGCCUGUAAUCCCAGCAGCUUGGGAGGCUAAGGCAAGAGGAUUGCGAGUUCAAAGACAGCUUCAGCAACUUAGUAAGGCUCUAAGCAACUUAGCAAAACCCUGUCUCUA
rnacentral:sRNA from 1 species